CGUUUGUUGAGAUUAAUUAAGUUUAGUCCAAUAAACAAAUGCAAACAAGUUUUUAAUUAGCAUAUUACAAGUUGUUCAUCAAGCAUGCUGGCUUGUUUAUAUCCCUAAAUUGUCAAGAAAAUGAAAUUGCUUACAUAAAAGCUUCACGAGGAAUAUCUUUGCCUUUGGUGUUACAAAACACGGCAAUAGCAGAAGAAUUUGGUAAGAAAAUGAAUAUUAGGGAAGUACACACAGAAGCUAUAGCACAUUGGACAUAAUGAUGUUCAUAUUCAACCACCGUGCACUCUCAGUCUUGGCGCUGAGAAGACAUUAGAUCAAGUGCCCCAUCCAUGUACCCAGCUGCAUGAGCAUGACCGUGAUGGUGAUCAUGGCCACCAUGAC
rnacentral:misc_RNA from 1 species